GCUGAAAUACUAGUUCCCAUAUGAUCACCGAAGUUAAGCAAAGUCGAGCCUAGUCAGUACCUAGAUGGGUGACCUGUUGAGAAUACCAGAUACUGCACG